rnacentral:rRNA from 2 species
UACGUAGGGCGCAAGCGUUGUCCGGAAUUAUUGGGCGUAAAGAGCUCGUAGGCGGUUUGUCGCGUCUGCUGUGAAAGCCCGGGGCUUAACCCCGGGUGUGCAGUGGGUACGGGCAGACUUGAGUGCAGUAGGGGAGACUGGAAUUCCUGGUGUAGCGGUGAAAUGCGCAGAUAUCAGGAGGAACACCGAUGGCGAAGGCAGGUCUCUGGGCUGUUACUGACGCUGAGGAGCGAAAGCAUGGGGAGCGAACAGG